rnacentral:rRNA from 1 species
CUAGGAUGAACGCUGGCGGCGUGCCUAACACAUGCAAGUCGAACGAAGCAUUGCGCCCGACAAAGAGGAGUGCUUGCACGAAAUCGGAGUCAAUUGUGAUGACUUAGUGGCGGACGGGUGAGUAACGCGUGGGUAACCUGCCCUAUACAGGGGGAUAACAGUUAGAAAUGACUGCUAAUACCGCAUAAGCGCACACUACCGCAUGGUAGAGUGUGAAAAACUCCGGUGGUAUAGGAUGGACCCGCGUCUGAUUAGUUAGUUGGGCAGGGUAACGGCCUACCAAGGCGACGAUCAGUAGCCGGCCUGAGAGGGUGAACGGCCACAUUGGGACUGAGACACGGCCCAAACUCCUACGGGAGGCAGCAGUGGGGGAUAUUGCACAAUGGGGGAAACCCUGAUGCAGCGAACCGCUGCGUGAGUGAUGAAGUAUUUCGGUAUGUAAAGCUCUAUCAGCAGGGAAGAAAAUGACGGUACCUGACUAAGAAGCUCCGGCUAAAUACGUGCCAGCCGCGGC